CUCGUAGCUCGAGUUGUCCGAGCAGCGGCUCGAGUCCUCCUGGCUGUGGUUGAGCUGCAGCGACGCCGUCACCGAGAGCGGCCCCGAGCCCGGCGGGAGGGACACCGGCGUCUGCUUCUUGGUGUCCUUGCUGAGCGUGGGCACUUUGCAGGCGCGGCGGCGGCCGUGGGGGGCACUCCGGGCUUCUGCAGCUUGCUGCGGUCAGGGUGG
rnacentral:lncRNA from 1 species